AGAAUAAUAAGCUAACUAAGCUAUCAGGUUCAUACCCUGCUUAUAGAGGUCUAUCUUAAUCCUCUUUAUUCUA
rnacentral:tRNA from 1 species